rnacentral:rRNA from 1 species
UCGGGAAUUUUGGGCAAUGGGCGAAAGCCUGACCCAGCAACGCCGCGUGAAGGAUGAAAUCCCUCGGGAUGUAAACUUCGCAAGAACGGGAAGAAUAAGUAGGGGACAAUACCCCCUAUGAUGACGGUACCGUUUGUAAGCUCCGGCUAACUCCGUGCCAGCAGCCGCGGUAAUACGGGGGGAGCAAGCGUUGUUCGGAUUUACUGGGCGUAAAGGGCGCGUAGGCGACCUCCGCAAGUCAGUUGUGAAAUCUCCGAGCUUAACUCGGAAAGGUCAACUGAUACUGCGGGGCUAGAGUGCGGAAGGGGCAACUGGAAUUCUUGGUGUAGCGGUGAAAUGCGUAGAUAUCAAGAGGAACACCUGCGGCGAAGGCGGGUUGCUGGGCCGACACUGACGCUGAGGCGCGAAAGCUAGGGGAGCGAACGGGAUUAGAUACCCCGGUAGUCCUAGCCUUAAACGAUGAAUGCUUGGUGUCUGGGGUUAUAUAGUCCCCGGGUGCCGUCGCUAACGCUUUAAGCAUUCCGCCUGGGGAGUACGGUCGCAAGACUGA